AAAGUCUAAUGAAGUAUGCUUCACAUUGAUAAGACUCUGGAAAUGAGAAGAGAAUGUUAUUGUUUAGUUGGGCAGAGAUUAACUAAAACAAUCAAAAAUGAAAAUUGUUCCAUGUUAUGUACACAAAACGCCCCUAAUUCCAUAGGUUUUGGUAAAUGGGCCAUUACUUGCAGCAUGCCACUGGAAGGACUUCCUCUCUGCCGAGCAAUAUACAAGGAAAGAUGACCGCCCUGGUGGAGGAUUUGCUGGGUUCUCCCUCUGUGAAUGGGCCCACCGAUCUUCCUCCAUUUCCUCGUUAUCAGAUACACAUCUGACCACGUGCCUUCCCAAAUGCUCCUUGGCUGUGGCCUGAUUCCUUGGAAGCAGGCAGAGGACCGAUGGCCCGAGGGAGGCGGCUGCAGGACCACGGGAGAGGCACAGCGAGGUCUGGGCUGAGAACUUAAAACCCACUUCUUCUGGAUCCCAAUUUUGGGAUGUAGGACCCAAUCCAGGGCACCGUGUUACCAAAAUAGUCAACAGUCAACACCACAUAACAGCUUUGUGAAGCUCACUAUUGGGCGUUCCAGUUCACCAAGAACGAGCUCGCUGCAGUGUGACUGGACGCCGCAAGCCAGGGUGUCUCUGCACAUCUCUUUCCUGUUGUGGAAUUAGGGGUCUCUCUUCUGCUGGCCUGGAAAUGAGGUUACUGCAAGAUAUUGAAUAUAGUUCCCUGUGCUAGAUGGAAGGACCCUGCUGUUUAUCCGUUUUUGUGAGGAUUCUUCUUGUAUUUCAAAGUAAGAGAGAUUCUGCCGAAGUUCAGCAGGCAUCCUGUGCGAACUGUUCCGCACACGGGCGUAAUUGUUGGCGUGCUCCUGGAGAGGAUGAGCUGGUCGCCCUUGGUCUCCACCAUCUUGGCAAUGUCUCUUGUCGUUCAUUUAUUGGAAGAACAAACAAUGAUGUGGAGACCGUCCCCUGCUGCCCAACUCCCCUUCAAAAAGGAGGGUCUCCCCACAGCUGCUGGGAAGGUGCUUACCUUAUGUGGGGACUGCCUCAACUGAAAGAAACUACCCACCCCCUCGCAGGACCAGCCCGCAUCCAGGGACUGAUGAGUGGGGGUGUGAAGGCUGGGCCUCUCCUCCCAUCUUGGGACAGCUCCGAGGGGCCAUCUGGUUUCAGACUCCCCAGGGGCUGGCUUGGCUGGGAAUCCACUGCAGAUAACUGCUCUCUCUGCUCAGUCCUGCUCCUCCACCCGCCCCUCCACAAGAACACUCCCUCGUAAAUGUUUUGCACACGCAUCUCAGCUCAAAAUCUGCUUCCCAAAAAGCCAACCUGCCACACAUGCAAAGUCAAACAAUCCAAAACAGUGUGCCAAGGACCACAAGCAUACCAGUGCCUGCGGAUGCUUCCAGAGAUGGUCCUGUGUGUGCAACUGUGUCCAUAGAAAAAUAUGCAUAUAUAUGUACCUUUUGGCCAUUUUCAAACUGUAGCAUCUUAUACUUUUUCAUUUAUAUUGUAUUUAAAUUUUUUUAGAUUUAUUUUUACAUAGUGAUCCAUAUGGGUUUAAAAUUACUGUCUACUAUUCUAUUAUAUGCAGAGAUCAUACCAUAGCUGCCCUCUGGGUGCCGACUACAUGCUGGGCACUCUUGCAAACUCUUGGUAUUUAUUCAGCACAUGUUUGUGGAGAAGCUAUUAUGUACCAGGUGCUGUUCUCGGUGCUUGGGGUACUAACAACUGACAUCGCAUGCUUCACUUCAACUUUAAGAAUUAGCCGCUAUUAUCAUUCCUAUUUUACAGAUGAGAAACCUAAGGUUUAAAUAACUUGUCCCAGGACUGGUUAAGUGGUGACCCCGGAAUCCCUAACCAGGCAGCUUGUCGGCAGCUCCUCUGCUCUUAACCCGUCCACAAGCAUCCCUCUCAAAGCCCCCUCUUGCCGGGCGACCGGCUGUGUGCGGUUGGCAGCUGUGGUAAACAACGCUGCCCGGAACAUCCUUUCACAGGGACCUUUGCGUGUUGUCCCCCCACCUUUAAAAAGCACUGAGAAAGGGAAACAGGCGAGCUCAUUAUCUUGCAGGAUACCUGUUGGCAGUCUCAGGUCAGUACCCAGACCACUUGAAAAGAUGCCUUCCUUCAAAAAGAGGUUAGUAGGAAUCAAAAGAUGCUACAUUCCAUUCUUAAUAUGAAAAUCUUGCGUUAAGCCUUUAAAAUACUUCCAUGCGGGCCCUGCGUGCUGGAUGCAUAUUUGCAGAUAGGGUAAUACCUAGAUUACCAUUGCCAGCGUCUCUGGUGGGAAGUGGAAUGUUUUCAUUAACAUUUCUCUUGUUUGCGUUUCACGAAAAAAAAAUGAAAGCGGGUCCUACCCGUGGGGUCUGGUUUUAAUCAGAGCCUAAUCUUUAUGAGACAACAUAAGGCUGAGAAUUUUUUAAUCUGAUAUUUUGAAAGAAAAAGGCAUGUUCAAAUAUGAUACAACCCAUCAGCCUGAGGAGAACGAUGGAAAAAAAAAAUCUCUUACAUAAAAGAAGCAGGAAAUUCCAGAGAAGUUUCACAGGGAGGAGGGGGGAAACCAAAGUCCGCAUCUCUGUUUACGAGGUUAUUUCUUCAUAGAGGGUAAUAUCUGGUUUUGUUGAACAACCGAAGUUCAGUUCAGAGGAAAUUGCUGAGCUGUGUCUCCCUGAAGUGAGACCCUAAUGAUUUACUGCUCCAUAUUACAAACCCACGGUGUGUCCCCUGAUCCACUGGCCCUUUAAAUAUUUCCUCCUCUUCAGAGCAUCCUCCUCAUUGUGGUCACAGAUCCACCUAAUAGUAGCUGAUUUAAUGCCUAAGCAAUUUGAAACGUCUCUGGAGAUGUUCUUGAAAUGUUCAUAUUUUCAUUUAAUGGUACCUUCCCCUGAUUAGAGGGAAAAAAGUAAUUUGGCAGGACUUCAGGGUUAGUUGUUGAGAUUUAUAAGCAUUUUCAUAUAAUGCUCGGCUCGAGUGGAAAUAGUAAAAUCUCAACCUUCCAAUAAGCUGCAAAACUAUUAAUGGAUUUCUAGGUAAAGUUGUUUAGUGUUACCACUCAGUGGAAUAUAUUUUCCAUUAAAUAUGAAAGCGGUCCAAGUAUGUUUUAUACCAGGUGUGUUAACUUUACUGUUUCCUGCAAUGUCUAUAAUUUCAAAAUUAAUCUAGUCCUCUUUUAUAUGCUUUUGCAUGAGCUGUGGCUUGCUGUUUCACGGUCACAAUGAUUCAACUAUGGAGACUAAAAACUGGCAAGCAAAAGCCAAUAAAAGCAUAAAGAAGACCUAAAGUUUCAGAGAAAUGAGAUUUACCAAAUGAUCUACAGUGGAGUUCCCUCCACCAGAGCUUUCAAUGUUAAAUUUAUUCUACAAUGCCUCAUUUAGUGUGGUUUUGUACCAGUUUUGUAGCAUGAAUCAAAGCACAAAGAUUAAAUGAAUAAAUCAGGCACCAUUUCAAAAUUCA